rnacentral:rRNA from 1 species
UGGGGAAUUUUGGACAAUGGGCGCAAGCCUGAUCCAGCGACGCCGCGUGUGCGAUGACGGCCUUCGGGUUGUAAGGCCCUUUCGGCGGGGAAGAAAUUGCGUGGGUUAAUACCCUGCGUAGAUGACGGUACCCGCAUAAGAAGCACCGGCUAACUACGUGCCAGCAGCCGCGGUAAUACGUAGGGUGCGAGCGUUAAUCGGAAUUACUGGGCGUAAAGCGUGCGCAGGCGGUUAUAUAAGUCAGAUGUGAAAUCCCCGGGCUCAACCUGGGAACUGCAUUUGAGACUGUAUGACUAGAGUGUGGCAGAGGGGGGUGGAAUUCCACGUGUAGCAGUGAAAUGCGUAGAGAUGUGGAGGAACACCGAUGGCGAAGGCAGCCCCCUGGGCCAAUACUGACGCUCAUGCACGAAAGCGUGGGGAGCAAACA